rnacentral:lncRNA from 1 species
AAGGUUCUAGAACAUGGUUCACAAUGGACCUAUCAUUCACUAUAAUGCAGAUCCAUAGGGAGUAGUAUAUCAGAACACCAGAAAACGUGAUAUAGAAAGUAGAACAGGAAAAUUCAUCGUCAUAAUGAAAUGAAAGAGAAUGAAGACCACACAUAGUUGACACUGGGCUGAAUAUGAGCCACUAGAUUGGAGUAUCAUAGAAUAUCCUGGGCUGAGGGUUAUUUCAGUUAUGAUGGUGAUUCCAGCUGUACUCUGCCCCAGUGGAGCUUUUCAGAGAUCUACCAGGGAACUAUGUGAAAGACUGGGUUCUCUGGAGGACAAAGCAUGA